CUGUUUCAGUGAAAUGGAAGUGGUGUUCAGUGUACCCUACUGUAUCGAAAAGAAUGCAUUUCAUUUAAAGUGAGAUGUUCCAGAGAAAAGAAAAAGAACGUGGGUAAGAAUCGAUGAGGAAUCCAGGGAAUCGCGAAG